GGGGUGCUGGCGCAACGGCAGCGCGUCUGACUCCAGAUCAGAAGGUUAUGGGUUCAAAUCCCAUGUGUCCCA